rnacentral:rRNA from 1 species
UACGUAGGGGGCAAGCGUUGUCCGGAAUCAUUGGGCGUAAAGAGCGUGUAGGCGGCUCGGUAAGUCCGCUGUGAAAGUCCAGGGCUCAACCCUGGAAAGCCGGUGGAAACUGUCGAGCUCGAGUCCGGAAGAGGCGAGUGGAAUUCCUGGUGUAGCGGUGAAAUGCGCAGAUAUCAGGAGGAACACCAAUGGCGAAGGCAGCUCGCUGGGACGGUAACUGACGCUGGAGACGCGAAAGCGUGGGGAGCAAACAGG